rnacentral:lncRNA from 1 species
GUGUGUGUGUGUGUGUGUGUGUGUGUGUGUUUUCAUAGUUAUAAAUCAUACUGCUCAACUAUUUAGUGUUGUGUUUUUAAAAACUUUUCCAUUAUAUCACAAGUAUUUUCCCCCAUUGCUCAUCUUCAUAAACGUAUCUGAAGGACUGCAUUCAUUUAUGCAGCAAAUGUUAAGUGAGCAUCUACUAUGGUCUGUGGAGAGACAGUGUAAUGAUAGAGCCGACCUUUACUGGGUGCGAACUGUGCCAGACACCAUCCUCAUCGCUUGCAUUAAGUCCCUUCUUCCUCACAACAACCCUAUGAGGUAUGCCUUACCAUCAUGCCCAUUUUUCCAGAUGAGAAAACCGAGGCCCAGCAUGGCACAGCUGAGAGGGGCAGCCAGUAUUUGCAUUCAGGUGGACAGGUCACAGAACCUAGACUUUGGUCAUGCUGGACUACUUUGUCAACCACAAAUAGGUGACCCCAGUCCAGAGUGAUCUGAGCUGGAACAGGGAAUGUACGGGAACAUGUGACAGCUCUGAGGAGGCUACAGAUCCAUGCAGGUGCAUCAGGGAAGUCUUCCUGGAGGAGAUAACAUUCUGGCUGAGGAGGUAGGAGGUGAGGGCGCUGCAGGUAGAGGGAGCUGUUUGAUGAGGAUCUGAGGUAGGAGCGGGCAUGGAAGGUUGACAAGCUGAUGGCACUGAAACUGGUUGGAGAGGUGGGCAGGGCUAGAUCAUGUGGGAAUUAUGGGCCCAGGGAGCCCCAGAGGGGUGUGAAGCUGGAAUAUGGCAUGACUGGGAGGCCUUCCCCCACUUGCUCUGGCCCCCCGCAGCCAGUCUGUCCCGCAUGGCAGUGCCCAGCAUUCUGGGCACUUCUUGCCUGUAUGUCGCCUGUCUGUUGUUCUAGAUUGAAGAAAGUUCUGGAAGGCGGAACCUGGAGUGAUGUAUUCACUUUUGUGACCCAGGAUCAAGAUCUAUGCUGGGCAGGAGAUGCCCUGGAGAAUGAGCCAACCCUCGCUGGGCCCUCUCAACGCUGUUCUUGA